GUCAUGCAUACCUGGUGUUAAUGAUUUUAAAAAUGUAAAAAUAGGAACAGAGAUAUGUUGCUGUGAAAAUGUGCGUAUGUCAAAGGGGAUCUGACAAAAUGUGCGCAGGUCAUGACUUGCGCACCUUUUCACAGAAUUCUUUGUGACAUGCGCACCUUUUGUCAGAUCAAAACUGACAUGCGCUGCUUUUGUCAGAUUUCUAUGACUUGCGCAUAUUUUGUCUGAUCAUAAAUUCUGGUGACAUGCGCACAUAAAACAGAUUCCUUAAACAAGUUUUAAAUGUUUGCCAUCAACACUUUGCUUAAUAAAUUAACAUUCAAAGGUGUACUACUUGGUUUUCUUCUGUGUUCACUCUGUUUACAACUGUUCUUUGUUGAAUGUUUUAUUUUGAUUUGAGAAAUUUAGAAUCUUAAGAAAUUAGUGAACACAAAUUUUUAUCUCAAGAGAAUUAUUUCCUUCAGUAUGGAGGCACAUAGAAAAUACUGUACUGACACAGCAAUUUUUUCAUCUGUGCUUUGUUAUUUGUUGUUGUCUGCAGAAAUAACCAUAACAAGUUCAAUUUUUACAUCAUUUCUUGUUGUCAAUGAAUAAACUCACUUGGUUUUUUUCUGGUAAAAUGUGAUUAAUAAGACAAAAUGCUGACUAUGUCAUAGUGGAAAGUCGAUGUCAAUACACUCAACACAAUAAUAAUGCAAGAUACAUCCAGAUUGGUUAACACUUGGUGGGCGGGGUAAUGUUUGUGACAAGACAAGAGCGGCUUCUGCUACGGCAUAGCCUUACUCGACACCGUAAGAACCAUACUCUUGGAUGGGCGAUGGUGGAGUGGAGAUACCCCAUGCGCAAAUCCCCCCCCCCUCCUUCGAUAUGCAGACAACUCUGUUGGGUUUAGGGUAGUCCUCGGAAUUUUGUCCUGUUUGUUGUGAAACAGCACUUGUCACUUUACUGUCUGUGCCUGAGGACGCUUAUUCACGUCGAAAAAACCCGUAUAAACAUGCAACUAUGCCUAACUUCUUUAAUUUAUCAGGUGAGCUGGCAGUUGUAAUCAACCAACCUAUCUGGUCUGAGCUUGUGCCUAUUCUAAAAGUUCUGUGUGCUUUGUUCUUUCUUGCAGGUCGUUUGAUUUUUGAACUGGCAUUUAUCCUUCCCAUUCCUAGCCUAUGAACUACUGGGCCUAUAACAGCUCCACCUAGAGUGAUGUGACCAUCCACUCUUGGGAAGACAAAACGCCAAACGCCCAAUAAGCUGAAAGCGGUUUCUAUGGUUCGGCUUCCACUCUCCAGAUUUGUGCAAACAUCAUGUGGAUAAAAUUCUAUUAAUGUACAGGGAAAAGUGCGGUUUCUACAGUUCAGCUUCCUCUCUUUAUCUUUGUGCAAUGUUGUGUGUUUCAUUCUGAACUGUAGAUGUAAAUACUCUAAAGAACCAUAUAGAAU